UGAUGAUGAUGAUGACGAUGAUGAUGAUGAUGACGAUGGUGACGACGACGAUGAUGAUAAUGAUUAUAAUUGUUAUUUUUGUUAUUGUUAUUGUUAUCAUCAUCAUCAUCAUCAUCAUCAUCAUCGUCA
rnacentral:pre_miRNA from 1 species